UUUAGAGACGAUGCGACUACUUCGUCGUCCUUGGUUGAACGGUUUACGGAAUUAAGGUAGGCGAGCUGUGCAAUAGCUGACGUUUUAAACGGCGUCGGUUAAUAUUGCCGGAAGGGCUUGCUUCGUUGCUAUAAUAUCUGUGAUGUCUGAUAGUGUUGUGGUUUAGUGUACUUCCGUCGAUUUUGUGAUGAAGUGGCGGCGAGCUGGAGGGAAAGACAGCAGUUUUGGGCAUCUAAUGAAAUGGGAAGCGAGCUGAUGAGAAAGGGCAGGUUUUGCGAGUUGUCGCUGCUCUACGGAAGAUUGUCCAUGUGGAACUUCGUGUAGGCACAAAUUUUAAGGUAAGGUUGAUCUAAGCUCCGAAUUCUCCCUGCACAACAGAUUCUCACACCGCAACGUUUUGAAACUCCUUGAUGGCGUGGUUCGACAUGGUCUGCAUAUGGCGUGGUUCGACAUGGUCUGCACAUGGCGUGGUUCGACAUGGUCUGCACAUGGCGUGGUU